rnacentral:rRNA from 1 species
UACGUAGGGUGCAAGCGUUAAUCGGAAUUACUGGGCGUAAAGCGUGCGCAGGCGGUUUUGUAAGUCUGUCGUGAAAUCCCCGGGCUCAACCCAGGAAUUGCACUUGAAACUGCAAGCCUUGAGUGUCGGAGAGGAAAGUGGAAUUCCUGGUGUAGAGGUGAAAUUCGUAGAUAUCAGGAGGAACACCGGUGGCGAAGGCGGCUUUCUGGACGACAACUGACGCUGAGACGCGAAAGCGUGGGGAGCAAACAGG